ACAUAAACGGAGAGAAGAAGAGGAGAGGCGAUUGUUAAAAAGCUACGUAAGUUCAGACUGAGCAUCGUUUAAUGUUAGCACGUUUGUUCGAAAACAAAAACAGCAGGUAUUAAAAAAAAGAGGAUGUUUAAAUGUUUAAAAUUUUAGCUUUUAAAAACUGAAGCCAGAAAGCAGUUCUGAAUUUACAAAUGGAUUCGGGAAAAGUUGUGCACAGAAGAAAGCCGGGGAUCCCUGUAAUCGGUUUGACAGCAUCCCAGAAGAGCCACCGCCAUCAGGAGGUUAAUGCUAAAAGUCUCGAUCUCAGUAAGGUGAUUCGUCUUCUUGAAGAUCCUUUGACAACUAACUUGAAGGAAAGACACCUUUUUGUUCUGAAGAAACUACUGAAGAAAAGCCAAAUUGGCUUUCUUUUAAAAGAGCUGACAGCCAUCGCAAAAAUACUCAACAUCUGCGCAGAGAAGGUGACAGAUCACCCCGAAUAUGUGCCCAUUCUGUGUGAAGCUCUUAUAAUUUGUAGGCUUCCCUUUCUGAAGGAGAAGACAUCUGACGAGCUGCACUACGCUCAGGAUGUCACAGAGUUUCUCUCUCAGAUGGGGUGUCUGAUGAGAGUGUCUGAUGCUGAAGUGAGGCAGCUCAUAUUUGAAUGCGUGAAAUCAUUCUACAGCUCUGUGGCUCCCAAACAGAUGCUCGAUGGUACGGAUGGUACCACGCGAAAGCCUCGGACUUUCCCUUCUAACAACCAAUUUUCUAGACUUUCACUAAGCCUCCAGCCGACCUCUCCAGGCUACAGGCUGCAGCUGCUGGAGCGCAGUGAGCUGGCUCAGACACUUCUCCUCUCCAUGGCCACUCUCGAAAACCAGCCCACCAUCAAACUGCAACUCCUUCACAUCCUUCAGAUCCUCUCCAGCUGCUCUGAUAUGAACUGUUCUUCAAUACUCCAUGCUCGAGGAGCAGAGACUGUAUGUCUCCACAUGAACGACUACGACCCGACCGGCCAGGUCCUGUUCCGCUCUUCCGAAAUCCUCUGGAACCUGCUGGAGAGGGGCAACAAGGAGGUGGUCACCGCUCAGCUCGGCACCCUGGAGUGUGUCCUGUCUCUGAAAGAAGCAUUUUUUCACCUGCUGAACACCGGCUCUGGACAUUCAGACCUCCAACUCAGAAACGAUCUGCUCGUGAUCACAACUCUCAUUGCAGAAAGUCCAGGCUCACAGCUUAUUGAGAGUUCAUUUGCCAAACAGCUUGUGGUUUUCAGCACAUUUCCAGAGCUGAAAAGUCACAACCCUUUGAUCCGCAACCUCAAGCUCAGCUAUAGUAACGAAGAUUUGAAAAUGAAGAAGUUGCUGUUGAAUCUGCUGGUUGUUAUGUCGAGGGACUUGGCUGCCCUGCAGCUUUAUAAAGAAGAACGUGUUAUGCUGGCUCUGCUGGCACUCAUGAAGCCGCCUGUCGCCUCCUCGUCUGAGCGUCAGUCGGGGUCGCGUCACUGGUCCGCUGCGCAGAAGGAGGAGCUCCAGCUGCAGGCGCUGGCCACCCUCGCCACCAUCGGGCCGCUCAUGUUGGAGGAGUACAUUUCCUGUGAGGGGAACACCUGUCUGCUGCUCCUGCUGGACUGGUGUGUUGGGCCAGAUUCUUACUUUGGCCAGGGUCACAGCUUCCACGCCACCGGAGGCAGAGGCGGUAAGAAGGCACAGACGCGGCACUGUAUCAGAGUGCUGAGAUCGGUGACUUCUCUGGGCGAAGAGUCUGUAAACCAGGACCUCUGUGAUCAGGGAAUCAUCAACCAGCUUCUGGGGAUUCUCAUGCAGAUAGACGCGGGUCCUGAUGAAGAUGAUGUCGUCACUCUGGAGAUAAAGUCGGAUAUUCAGGUGAUCCUUUCAACGCUGUGUGAGACCGACAUGCACAGAAAGGAACUGUUUGGCUCAGAGGGAGUUGAGAUGGCGGUUCAUUUUCUGAAAAAAGGCUCUGACAAGUUUUACAGCGGCCUCGGACACAACAAGCUCGUGCUCUCCACAGUGGACUGUGUGUGGUCGUGUAUCGUAGGCUGCUACACCACAGAAGAUUACUUUCUGGUUAAAGAGGGGGUGUUUCUUCUCCUCAACUUACUCAGUACAAGCCCCCGGUGUGUGCACGGUGUCGUCCUCGCCACCCUGCUAGAGUUAUGUGACAACCUGAACACGCUGCCGUACAUUCUGACCUGGAGGGACGGCAACGGACAGACGGCUCCCAGACUCCUGCUGCAGCUGUGGAGAGAGGAAGAGGAGGAGCUAGGAGUUCAUCGAAAUCAACAUGGAGGCAUCGCAGAUCCUCAGAGGCCCAUCCUCAGUCUUUUCCAGCUGGAUGAACCUCUGCUUUCAUUUCCUGCUAACGUACCAAGUGCUGCAGUAUUGGAGAUGUCAGAGAACCUGCGAUCGAAGAUUUACUCCAUCUUCUGCAAAAUUGGGUUUCAGGAUCUUCCUGGAUUGUUGGGUAAAGAUUAUGUGACUCUGACCAUCAUCAGGAGAUAUCUAGACUUUAAGGUUGGUGAGGUGUGGGAUGAGAUUAGCCGGGAACUGAGUCUGGAAGGCGUGAGGCCGAUCAGCCCCGACCAGGAGGCUCUGAGCACCAUCUGCAAGAUUGCGGAGGACACGGCGAGGAGGAUCGUGGAGGAACAAAACAGCAUCCUGGAGCACCAUCAGAAGGAGGACAUCAGCGAGGAGAAGCUCACAUACACAGAGAUGAAGUCUCGCUGGAAGCAAAAGGAGUUCAUGGCAAAGUCAUGGGACGAUUACGUUUCUAGGACUUCAAACUAUGAAGCCCUGAAGGAAGUAAAAGCACAGAGGGAGAAGUACGCCGAAUCAUCCAGACCUAAACCAAAGCACGAGGAUGCUGCUAUCCGCCCUGCUGAGCAUUUCAUCGGACACGUCGUUGGAGUGGAGAGCACGGACGCUCAGGGUCCGGCAGGAGUGAAGGUGACGCUGGUCAGAACUCCAGUCAGAGCCCCAAGUCAGGACAAAGGAGAACCAACAACACCAAACCCAGACUACUUCAGCACGGCGUCUUCUGCAGACUGACGUUACCAAAGUCACUCUUAAUACAAGGCAUUCACAUUCUUCAUGUAACAGCAUUUAUUGUGCUGUACGCUCAUAAAAUUAAACUGCACUAAUGUAAAGACUGUAUUAAUGUGUUUUACAGGAAUUGUCAAGAUACAUGAGUAGAGCAGAGGGGUCAUCAAGUUCAUUACAACUUAAAGUGAACUUUAAUAGUUUAAAGCGGUCCAAAAUAACAAAGUCCAAUCGGCAAGAAGAUACACUACAAACAAAAGGUGGGGGGGGCAGUGAAGGAGUGACUCAGUGCAAACAACCCAAAAAUGCAGACUUUAAGUAAGUUAAUUAUGCAAGUUUUUUGUAAUUUUGUUACAAAAGUGAAAUGUUAAACAUUAAAUUUAAUGGUUAAAUGAAAUUUACUUAAUUGGUGUGCAUUCAGUUUAUACCAAGCAUGCUUACCUUAUUGAUUAAUAAUUUGAAUAAUUUGCGUGUUACUCACAGUUAUUGCUUCAUAUUUAUGAGGACAAGCACCAUUGUUUUGAGUGCGAGGUGUAUUUAUAGACAGAGUGACGAUUAGGGAUUAGACACAUGUGAAGACUCAUACCGGACCGGGGGGGGGGCAAAACUCCAGAGCAAAACACAAGGAAGAGAAAAACAACCUAAAGGUAUGGAAGUUUGUCUUUUUCUGUGGCAGAAACAAGCUUCCGUAAAAAAGACAUGUACUAAACACAGAGCCGAGAAAACUCACAUUAAACAUGAAAACAUGAACAAAAAAGACGAGAACAGAUUGGGACAGUCUAAAAUCAAAAUAGGAACCGAAGCAAAAUACAGGCCAAGAUCUAAAAACUAAGGCUAGAACAAUAAAGCCAACUUGUCAGGAAGAGAAAACGAGAAAGAUAAAAUAAAAAUAAUUCAAGAAAGCUGCUUAUAGUGUUUAUGUUUCUGGUUCCUGUGGCUCUAUGCAGCAGAUGCAGACGUGAGGUCACUCCAUGUGUACAAUCAACACCUUGUAGUCCAGCCCACCACCCCAGCCCUUCACACAGGCACACACACAGAGUCUCUGUCCUUUCAGACAACGUUACACUGGCUUACUUUAAUUUCCUGAAGACUUAUCUGAGCCAUAACCAGACUAUUAUAUUUUUAUUUAUUUUCUUUUUUUCCCAAGUCCUCUCAACGUGACUGUCAGAAGCAGUAACUUGGCUUUCCUUUGGAGCUAACAUGACUUAUUUCAGUGCACAGAACAUUCAUAUACAAUCUGUUUUAAAUUCAAAUUGUUUUUUUUCCAAAUAAUUAUGGUUUUUGCAUCAAAACUAAUAAAGUAAUUCGAUUUAUUAACAAUAAUCUUUAAAUCGUUAAAAAUAAAAUGUUUUCAUCCUACAUUUAUGUAACCACUCCUGCACCACAAACAAAGAGAGCCUGAACAAUCAAUGUGGCCUCAUAGACUCCGUUGCAUUAUGUAACAUCACUGUACCUUCAAACAUAAUAAACCCACGGUGUAAUUACAUCCACUCGAGGUUAACGCUCUCAUUAAAUGCUGCAGCUCGCUGUUUUUUUGGCAGUAAAAAUUAACCUUUUUACUGCUGGGUUGUUAAAAAGUAUUUUAUCUUUUUUGGGUUACAUAAGUGACUGCAGUGCAUUAACACACAUGUUCCUUCAAGCGUGCAACAUGCUGCACAGAGCGACCUCUUCUUCUUCUCCUCCUCUCUCUGCUCUCACCCGUUUCACUGGCUGGAUGGCCAAAUCACCCCUGACAGGCCGGAGCUUUUCAUGCGGCUCUGCGAGUGUUUGUGUGGCACACUGUACAAAAGAGCAGGGAGACACAGGACCCUCUUCAGCGCAUCAGGCUGCCCGCUGUUUGCUCAGACUGCCGAGGGGCUUCACGGGGCCGGAGGUCCGUCUGCCGUCGAUGAAGGCACGUCUGGAUCCCAACUGGAUGCUCAUCAACACCACGAGGACCUCCUAACUUCAAACUGAAGCUCCUCUUCCCAUCUGAGAAGCUGAGGCAGCAGGAAUGAUCAUCAGACUGGGAAGACUGACACCGGGAUACUUCCGCCUCCUCCAGAGGCAGAUGUCGGGUGAGGUCCAGAUUCAGCCGCAGAGCAGCCUCAUCGAUCCCAUCGCCAUGACGAUGGCCGCGGUGGGGAUGGGAGUGUCUCUGUACAGCGCCAGGCGGAUGUCAGAGAGAGUCCAGCUGAAGCGGCCAAACGCCUGAGAGAUCUCACCUGUUCACUGGUUCAGUUUCUGCUGCACAGGCGGUUCAUGCGACAGAGGUUGUGUUUGUGAACGUCAGAGAAAGUCAGCGGAGGGGGAGUGUGUUUAUGUGUGUGGGUGUGUCUGUGUGGUGCUAGAAGGAAAAUCUAAGUGUCCCCAAAGGAAAAUGUGAGUCGGUGAUCAGCAUGUGUGAAGCUGUAGUUUGAUAACCCUACGUGUUGUGUGCAGGAUAUCUUUAAAAGGAGUGCGUAUUAAAUCAGAGAUUUGUACUUUAAUGCAAUUAAUCCUCAAUUAACAAACAGCAUUAGAGUUUAGUUUAAAAAUGUGUAUAAUACAGAUGUAAUCCAAUUCAAUUCAAUUUUAUUUAUGUAGAACCAAAUCACAACAACAGUCGCCUCAAGGUGCUUUAUAUUGUCAGGUAAAAAUCCUACAAUAAUACAAGGAAAACAGAGAAAAGCUCAACAAUGAUAUGACCCCCUAUGAACAAGUGCUUUGGCGACAGUGGGAAGGAAAAACUCCUUUUUAACAGGAAGAAACAUCCAGCAGAACUAAUGUAUGUAUAAAAUCUUACAAACUUAUUUUAUUCUUAAUAUUAGUCACAAAUGCACCUUUCCAGGCAUUUCUUGUAGUUUGUAUAUAAAUCCUUGAGCAGCGUCACAUCUGAGUAUUUCUUCACUAAUCACACUAAGAAUCUUCGAAACAUCUUCGAACGACUUACUGAAGAAAAUGUCUGUAAAUGUAAGAUGCUAACUCAGAAAUAUCUACACUUAUUUGUGCGUCUAAUAAAAAUGUUCACAUUUUCUGA